AACGAACGCUGGCGGCAUGCCUAAUACAUGCAAGUCGAGCGAACAGAUGAAGUGCUUGCACUUCUGACGUUAGCGGCGAACGGGUGAAUAACACGUAAGGAAUCUACCUAUAAGCGGGGGAUAACAUUCGGAAACGGGUGCUAAUACCGCAUAAUAUCUUCUUCCGCAUGGAAGAAGAUUGAAAGACGGCUCUGCUGUCACUUAUAGAUGACCUUGCGGUGCAUUAGUUAGUUGGUGGGGUAACGGCCUACCAAGACGAUGAUGCAUAGCCGACCUGGGAGGGGGCUUGGCCACCUGGGGACUGAGACACGGCACAAACUCCUACGGGAGGAAGCAGUAGUGAAUCUUCCGCAAUGGGCGAAAGCCUGACGGAGCAAUGCCGCGUGAGUGAAGAAGGCCUUCGGGUCGUAAAACUCUGUUAUAAGAGAAGAACAAAUUGUAGAGUAACUGCUACAGUCUUGACGGUAUCUUAUCAGAAAGCCACGGCUAACUACGUGCCAGCAGCCGCAGUAA
rnacentral:rRNA from 1 species